rnacentral:lncRNA from 1 species
AUGAAAUGCAAAAAGAACACUCCUUAGUCAUGUAACCUUAGAUCUUGCCAUCAAAAAAUUCUUAUAUCUCCGUGUACCCUUCUCUGUGUGUCACGGAGUCUCGAACUGUUUCCCUUCAAAGGUUUGUCCGUAGUCCCAGUUUCUAGGAGCAACGUUGUAAGCUGUCACGGUUGAUCUAUCACUAGCAGUCACUUCAAACGAGAGAGCUUGGUUCUUGAGAUCGGCGUUGAUAUGCCAGUUCUGUCCCCAGUUACGACCCAUUGGUAACCACCCGGUUCUCGAUCCUUUAACCUUCACAGCAGAUAUAUCACCUGAUCCAGCAACAUUGGUGAUCAGAACCGAAAUGAAAAUGCCUCCACCAUCUAUUGUAAACCUAAUGCUUCCUUCCCUCCUACAGUUAAUCCUGUGUAGACAAAAACCAGUAGCCAUGGUUAUUAUGUUCACUCUAACCACAAAACACACCACAAACUAGUAAGGAUCCAGUGAAUCAUAGUACCAUAAAAACUAAAGAACAGUGAUGCCUAGUGCCUAGAACUUUUUCAAAUCAUUAGCUACAAUAUGCAACCAAUCCAAACCACAAUUUAAAUCAAUAUUCAAGAAAUUACUAGCCGGUAACUUAGCGCUUUAUAAGAGUUUAUAAGUGACUAUUGUUUAGGCUAGGCCUAAACCGAUUUUUAACGCCUACACCGAAAUCAUUCUAGAAAAAUCUUUUCGUUUAGGCCUAUCCGGAUUUUUAAAUAAAUUGUUUCGUUUAGGCCUAAACCGAUUUUUUAAAGCCUAAACCGAUUUUGUAAAGUUAUUCUAGAAAAAUCGUUUUCAUUUACAUCCAAUUUGCUGAUUCUAACGCAAAAACCAAUUUGUAGAACACUGCUUUAACUACCAUAGCUGAAUCUUGUUGAAGCACUAGUCCUACUCAAGUUACACGACCAAGGGCAAUAAAGUAAAUUGCCAAUCCAGGAGAGCAUCUAGGGGAAACACAGCUCAUAUAAAGCACACGGAUAUCGAAGAAGACAAAAGCAAAAGCAACAAUCACCGCUUGUAAUGAUUUUCUUACAAAAAAUUCAAAUUAAAAAUCGCGUUUCCACUAACGCAAACGCAUUUAUCUAGAAACGCGAAUUAAAGUUUACCAUUUUUUUGAGUUAAACGCACCUUCUAUACUGCACCGGCAUGUUCCCAGCUUUCCAAAUAGCGAUCUUCCCAAACGCCUCGAUCGGCAACACGAAGUGUUUGUUCGGAGGGUUACAGUGACCGCCACCGUCGGAUUCAAAACCGUAAUUAGGAGCGCAGAAGUUCGUGGCGGUGAGGAUGAUCGAAGUCCCGGGGAUGCACCAGCGCAGAUCAUCGACGCAUCUGAGCUCGAAACAAGCGCCGCAGAUCUGACCACGCUCGAACAGAGUCUCGCUCAGACCGACCGUGGCCAUGCCGUAUCCGGAUUUGACGAGAUCUCCGUAUCCGCACGCACCGCCUACUUCGUCGCGUUAAAAAACCGAAGAAGAAGACCAAAAAAGUGUGUAUGAAAGUGGGUCCAUCAGUUGUGAACAUGUGAAUAAAUCCUUGGAAGCUAUCGAUGGGCCAACCAUGGAGAAUCACUUCUCAACCUUUCUCAUCAUCGUCAUAACUUUUUUUUCUUCUUAAUCCAAUUCCAUAUUCUCUUUUGUUUGUACAAUCAUAUAUACAAGCACAUUAAAUAGAUCUGCAUCUAAUUACAAUGUGUACAUACCCCCUCUUGACACAUUUCCCAUACAUGAAUCCAUCUUUUGGUUCUUAACUUCUUUUUGAUGGCGUUCACACACAUCUCUAUAACUACUAUUAUCCCUACAUUAACAUGGUGUAUAUAUAUUAAGGCAUAUAUAUAUAUAUAUUUGUUACACCACAAGAGAAUGAGAAAACCAUAAAAUAAAAUAUCUAAAAUGGAUUGAAACUGUUAGAGAUCGCCUAGACUUAUAUAAAACGAGGAUUGAUUGGGGGUACUUUUCUUUAGAUUACCCUCAAGUUUACAAAACAGGGCCCAAUUAUUACAAUUUGUUUUUUUAGAAACACAUACAAUUUGUAAAUCUACAAAAGUUAAAGUUCUUAAACAUUUUGGGCUAGAACGGGGCCUUAAUUUUAUAUGAGCCGGGCCUUUAAAAUAUAUUUGUAAUCUCAGGAAGAUAUAAAGCGGUCAUGUGAUAUCCAGCACAGAGCGCAUGUUAGAGUAGUUCCAAGCUCUUGACUAAGGUGAGCUCUGAGAAAUCAACAUAUAACAUAAAUAGAGAUCUUAUUACAAAACUGGAAAGUUAAAGCAAAAAAAGUUUUGUGAGUUCUUAACAAAGGUUUGUUUUUCUUUUCUUUUUGGAGUUUUCUUGUAGAGUUAUAAGAGAAGUGGGAUGUUCAUAGAAUUUUUUACAUCUAAGUGAUCUUAACAUUGGAAGUAUAGAUUACACAUUCUUAGCUAUAGGAUUGUAACAUCUUUUGACUUUCAAGGUGUAUAACCUUUAGUUACUAUUAUGAUUCUUGUUACUCAUUUUGUAUUCUUUUCUUAGCUUCUGUUACAACAACAGUACACUAGUGGUUUUGGUCAUCAUUAGCUUUAAGCAUUUGAGAGGAAGCUUUUGCUCCUUAGUAAUGCAAAGAUACAAUAGUGAUGUUUGUGUGAUCACUCUUCUUAGUACAUUGGUGACUUUUUGUACCUAUUCGUCGGAGAGUGAAACUAUGAAAUGCAAAAAGAACACUCCUUAGUCAUGUAACCUUAGAUCUUGCCAUCAAAAAAUUCUUAUAUCUCCGUGUACCCUUCUCUGUGUGUCACGGAGUCUCGAACUGUUUCCCUUCAAAGGUUUGUCCGUAGUCCCAGUUUCUAGGAGCAACGUUGUAAGCUGUCACGGUUGAUUUAUCACUAGCAGUCACUUCAAACGAGAGAGCUUGGUUCUUGAGAUCGGCGUUGAUAUGCCAGUUCUGUCC